rnacentral:sRNA from 1 species
UGAAAAAUAAAAACAAACUCAAACUCAAACAAAAGCCUCAUUACAUGUCCGUUACUGCGUACCCACUCUCAGAUACAGAUACAGCGACUGGCACACACACAGAUAAAGAUGGGGGCUCGGAUAAGGAGAACGGCCUAAAUGGAUUCUCAGGGCAACACGGGAUGUCGAAACGCAGCAGCCCAACGACAAAGUAACGAAAUUUGUGGCAGGAGCUCGUGAGGCACUCGCAGAGCAUUACCCGUUCGAUAUCCAAACGCGGGAAACUUUUCAUUCUUCGAAAGAUAAUCCAAAACAUUGAUAAGCCAUAAACCGAAAUGGAGUCGAAAUGCUGGACAAAUUAGCAAAUCGCUCACGUGCCUGUGACUUUUUCUGCUCGACAACACCCGAAAUAUUUCUACGAACUCAACUCGGACGGGGACGCGGACUCUGAUUUUCUAUUUUGGCGGUGGAGGUGGCGCUGGCCCAGCGGGCAUAGCAUUUCCGUAUGCCUGGAGUCGAAGAUUCUCGGCGUGUCCGGCGAAGUUGGCUGGCUAAGAACUCGUCACCAUAUGCUCGCUUCUUUUCAUUAACAACUUGAUCAUGAUUAGCAUCGAUAAGACCGAGAGCCUGCUUAGAAUUCUGUGGGGCUCGCAAACCUGCUUGGCGUUCAAAAAUGCCUUAGGCCAGGUCGCAGAUAUGUAUACGGGUCAUUACACAUUAUCUAGACAGUGGACUUGGACUUCCGCUUGGCAGACUUCCGCAUAGAUGUAACAGUAAACCAGUUCCAAUGUAUCUCUCCGGCCGAUCGACCAUCCAUAUCAAUUAAAAUAUGUAAAUGAAACAAAGCCAAACAAAAAGGCCAAUGUUGCGCGAAAAAAAGACAAACCCAAACUCCAAGCUAACCUCGAGUAUGUUUCUGUCUCUGCGGCAGAAGAAACCGAAACCAAAGAAAGGAAGUCUUUACGAAGCUUCAAAUACCCUUGUAUCCGAAAAAUAUUAUGUUUUUUGAUUACAAACCAAUUGGGGAAAAAACUUGAAUUAAUUAAGCUUAAACGAACCUUCAGUCGAAGAACUUGUGUGUUGGAAAAUUUUGAUUUACUGAUUUGAUUCCAAUGGUUCGAAAAAUUUCCUAUAUACACGUACAAUCUCAGAUUUCAUCCAGAUAAUUAUGAACCUGACAUGAC